rnacentral:sRNA from 1 species
CAAUGAUAUGUUAUCUUCGACAACAUGAUAUAUUUGCCGUUGGCAAAUAUGAUAUGUCGCUUUGCGACAUGAUAUAUUCG